CUCACUCCUCUUGCAGAUCUCAGUU
rnacentral:piRNA from 1 species